rnacentral:rRNA from 1 species
AACGAACGCUGGCGGCAGGCUUAACACAUGCAAGUCGAACGCACAAUUCGGGUUGUGUGGCAGACGGGUGGGUAACGCGUGGGAAUCUUAACUUCUCUACGGGAUAGCUCCGGGAAACUGGAAAUAAUACCGUAUACGUCCUGAGGGAGAAGGAUUAAUCGGGACAGGAUGAGCCCGCGUUGGAUUAGCUAGUUGGUGGGGUAAAGGCCUACCAAGGCGAGGAUCGAUAGCUGGUCUCAGAGGAUGAUCAGCCACAUCGGGGCUGAGACGCGGCUCAAACUCUUCCGGAAUGGAGGAGUGUGGGAUAUUGGACAAUGGGCUCAAUGCUGAUCCUGCCAGGCCGGGUAAGCGAUGAUGGCCGUAGGGUUGGUAAGUUCUAUCGGUGAGGACAAUAAUUACGGUACCCACAGAAGAAGGCGCGGCUAACUUCGUG